AAGGUGGGUAGGUGGCUAGGUUUUCUAGGUUGCUAGGUUGGUGAUUACAAGUAAAGAGAAGGGGGUAUUUAUAACUAAAGAAUUAGGGUUUAGGGGUAGGGUGGCUCAAUCUUGACCAUCCAUGUGCCUUGUGUGUUGGGAAGAUUGUGGCCCUCCAUGUGUCCCUUAGUUGCCAACUCUUUUUUUCUUCUUUUCUUUUCCCUUUUCUUCUUUUUUUU
rnacentral:lncRNA from 1 species